UACGAAGGGUGCUAGCGUUGUUCGGAAUUACUGGGCGUAAAGCGCGCGUAGGCGGCUAUCCAAGUCAGGGGUGAAAUCCUUGGGCUCAACCCAAGAAUUGCCUUUGAAACUGGAUAGCUAGAGUGUCGGAGGGGAUAGCGGAAUUCCUAAUGUAGAGGUGAAAUUCGUAGAUAUUAGGAGGAACACCGGUGGCGAAGGCGGCUAUCUGGACGACAACUGACGCUGAGGCGCGAAAGCACGGGGAUCAAACAG
rnacentral:rRNA from 1 species